CACUUCGUUUGGUUAUCAGCCCACUGUGUAUGUGAAAUGGCCAAAGAGGAGGGUGAAUUUUGAAAGCUAUUAGAAAUGCAUUCAAAGAUGAUAGAAUGACUACAGAGACAUUCAAAAUGAUAACCCUGAGUCAUCAAGUAGUUACACCGGAUUUAGGAAGUAGAAUAGUAUUUUACAAAGAGUUCUAUCAAAAAUGGUUAAAAAUAUAAAGGCUUGGUAAUUUUUAAAAGCUACCACUUACUGAACAUCAACCAUGCAUCAUCCUCUGUGUUAGAAGCUUUUCAUACACCAUUUUAUGUCAUUUUGGCUUCAAUAGGUAUCAUCUCAUUUUACAGUCGUGGAGAUGGAUUCUGGAGAUGUGCACAAGAUUCAUGAAGCAAAGUCGUCACAGAUGGGUGCUGGAAGCUGAGCCAACACUGGGCUACAAGGCGAGACACAGACAGCUGUGGCGGGUUCUGCUUUUAUCCACCAGACACGUGGUCCCUAUGUGGGCCGGAGGCAGUGAUGGCUUCGUCUCUGCCUGGGCACAGCUGACCACAGCAAAGUUCCAGGAUCACUGA
rnacentral:lncRNA from 9 species